ensembl:lncRNA
CUGGCCAUGUUGAGAGCGUCUGCUUCAGUUAUUCUGGAAACAGACAGAGUUGAGCUGAGCUGUGAGAAUACUGAACAUCUGAAGAUGGAGAAGUGUUUCUUCAACAUAAAUGGAAGAGAAAGUAACUCAAAACAGAGCUCAUCAUGUCAGCUCUCACUCACUGGAUCUCAGAUCAGUGUUUGGUCUGGAGGUCAGAGUUCAUCUGUGAGAAUAAGCUGCUUCUACACUGUGAAUUUGUCACAAGUUCAAAAACCAUCUGCUCACUCCAAUCCAGUGACAGUUACAGUCCAGAUCUCAACGGUGACCUCUGCUGGUAAAACUUUGACAACUGCAACAAAAACAACUUCAACCUCUACCGAUGAAACUUUGACAACUGCCACAAAAACUUGUGAGUGAAUAUCAUAUUUAAAAUUAAACACAUACUUGACAAGCACACAGAGGCAUUUUGCUCAUUUAUUUGCUCAAACUGCUUCAAACUGAGUUGUAUCUGUAUAUGUUUAUUUCACAACUUUUUUUAUAUGACUGUACCUGUUCAUUCAAAGCAUUAUCAGAUAAAUAGUGUCAUGUAAGGACAGCUAAACUGUAUAAUCGAUCAUUGUCUGUGGAAACUGGUUUACUCCAUACUGUAUCUGUAUAGUUUCAUGUCUGUUGUAUCACAUCUGACUCUGACCCACUGUUGAUUCUAUCAGCUGUUUUCACAGCAGCCUCUACUCUGCCUGAUUCCACCAGAGAGACAGAAACAUGUAAGAAUAUUUUUACUUUGCUUAUGAGACUAUAUUAAAUCUGUUAGAUUUUAAAUAAAAAUAAUUAUGACNUUAUUUUUAUUGAUGUA